rnacentral:rRNA from 1 species
UACGGGGGGGGCAAGCGUUGUUCGGAAUUACUGGGCGUAAAGGGCUCGUAGGCGGCCAACUAAGUCGGACGUGAAAUCCCUCGGCUUAACCGGGGAACUGCGUCCGAUACUGGAUGGCUUGAGUUCGGGAGAGGGAUGCGGAAUUCCAGGUGUAGCGGUGAAAUGCGUAGAUAUCAGGAGGAACACCGAUGGCGAAGGCAGAUCUCUGGGCCGUAACUGACGCUGAGGAGCGAAAGCGUGGGGAGCGAACAGG